rnacentral:rRNA from 1 species
UACGAAGGGGGCUAGCGUUGCUCGGAAUCACUGGGCGUAAAGCGCACGUAGGCGGACUCUUAAGUCAGGGGUGAAAUCCUGGAGCUCAACUCCAGAACUGCCUUUGAUACUGGGAAGCUUGAGUCCGGGAGAGGUGAGUGGAACUCCGAGUGGUAGCGGUGAAAUGCGUAGAUAUUGGGAGGAACACCGGUGGCGAAGGCGGCCCCCGGACCGGUACUGACGCUGAGGCGCGAAAGCGUGGGUAGCAAACGGG